AGAGUUUGAUCAUGGCUCAGAUUGAACGCUGGCGGCAGGCCUAACACAUGCAAGUCGAGCGGUAGCACAGAGAGCUUGCUCUCGGGUGACGAGCGGCGGACGGGUGAGUAAUGUCUGGGAAACUGCCUGAUGGAGGGGGAUAACUACUGGAAACGGUAGCUAAUACCGCAUAAUGUCGCAAGACCAAAGUGGGGGACCUUCGGGCCUCAUGCCAUCAGAUGUGCCCAGAUGGGAUUAGCUAGUAGGUGGGGUAACGGCUCACCUAGGCGACGAUCCCUAGCUGGUCUGAGAGGAUGACCAGCCACACUGGAACUGAGACACGGUCCAGACUCCUACGGGAGGCAGCAGUGGGGAAUAUUGCACAAUGGGCGCAAGCCUGAUGCAGCCAUGCCGCGUGUGUGAAGAAGGCCUUCGGGUUGUAAAGCACUUUCAGCGGGGAGGAAGGCGGUGAGGUUAAUAACCUCAUCGAUUGACGUUACCCGCAGAAGAAGCACCGGCUAACUCCGUGCCAGCAGCCGCGGUAAUACGGAGGGUGCAAGCGUUAAUCGGAAUUACUGGGCGUAAAGCGCACGCAGGCGGUCUGUCAAGUCGGAUGUGAAAUCCCCGGGCUCAACCUGGGAACUGCAUUCGAAACUGGCAGGCUAGAGUCUUGUAGAGGGGGGUAGAAUUCCAGGUGUAGCGGUGAAAUGCGUAGAGAUCUGGAGGAAUACCGGUGGCGAAGGCGGCCCCCUGGACAAAGACUGACGCUCAGUGCGAAAGCGUGGGGAGCAGACAGGAUUAGAUACCCUGGUAGUCCACGCCGUAAACGAUGUCGAUUUGGAGGUUGUGCCCUUGAGGCGUGGCUUCCGGAGCUAACGCGUUAAAUCGACCGCCUGGGGAGUACGGCCGCAAGGUUAAAACUCAAAUGAAUUGACGGGGGCCCGCACAAGCGGUGGAGCAUGUGGUUUAAUUCGAUGCAACGCGAAGAACCUUACCUGGUCUUGACAUCCACAGAACUUUCCAGAGAUGGAUUGGUGCCUUCGGGAACUGUGAGACAGGUGCUGCAUGGCUGUCGUCAGCUCGUGUUGUGAAAUGUUGGGUUAAGUCCCGCAACGAGCGCAACCCUUAUCCUUUGUUGCCAGCGGUUCGGCCGGGAACUCAAAGGAGACUGCCAGUGAUAAACUGGAGGAAGGUGGGGAUGACGUCAAGUCAUCAUGGCCCUUACGACCAGGGCUACACACGUGCUACAAUGGCAUAUACAAAGAGAAGCGACCUCGCGAGAGCAAGCGGACCUCAUAAAGUAUGUCGUAGUCCGGAUUGGAGUCUGCAACUCGACUCCAUGAAGUCGGAAUCGCUAGUAAUCGUAGAUCAGAAUGCUACGGUGAAUACGUUCCCGGGCCUUGUACACACCGCCCGUCACACCAUGGGAGUGGGUUGCAAAAGAAGUAGGUAGCUUAACCUUCGGGAGGGCGCUUACCACUUUGUGAUUCAUGACUGGGGUGAAGUCGUAACAAGGUAACCGUA
rnacentral:rRNA from 1 species